rnacentral:rRNA from 1 species
UACGUAGGGUGCGAGCGUUGUCCGGAAUUAUUGGGCGUAAAGAGCUUGUAGGCGGUCUGUCGCGUCUGCUGUGAAAAUCCGGGGCUCAACCCCGGACUUGCAGUGGGUACGGGCAGACUAGAGUGUGGUAGGGGAGACUGGAAUUCCUGGUGUAGCGGUGAAAUGCGCAGAUAUCAGGAGGAACACCGGUGGCGAAGGCGGUUCUCUGGGCCGGAACUGACGCUGAGGAGCGAAAGCGUGGGGAGCAAACAGG